rnacentral:lncRNA from 1 species
GCUAUAGAGAUGGAUCCCCCUACCCCUAACAAAAAACCCUAAUUUCACUCCUCUAAGAAGAACAAAAAAAUCAGGCGCCUGAGCUCCCUCACACUCUUCAAAGAGACCACAUUCACGCAGAGAGAGACGGGAAUAUCUAUUCAUUCAUACUCGCUACGCUCAUCUCAUUCACAAUGACACACAUUCAGUCAUUCCUUCACCAGCUAAAACACACACGCAGAACUCACAGUCCAGAUAGCUUAAACAAAAGUGUUGAAUUCUUAUUGAAUCUUAGAUCCGACAUAGGAAACAUAUUCAAAAAAUAAAGAGAUAAAUCAAGAGGAAAACAGCAUAAAAGAGGGAUUUCUGUAGCUGUGGAAUUGUAGUUUAUUUGCUCUCAUCUUCUGGGUUCUAAGAGGUGAAACCCUUGCGGUUUGCUGCUAAUUAUUGGCUAGGAAUGUUAGUUGAGCUUCAUCAUUUUCUUCCUCUCCAUUUUUCUGUUGAAAUUAGUCAUGCUCUUUGCAAUUAAGAUACUAUUUCUUCGAUGUAGAUAUGUUGUUUUAAAAGAAGAUUUGUGUUGAUAUUAUUAGUGAUACUUUAUCGUUUAAAGCUCAUGACAUGCUUUCUCAUGGUUAAACUUGAUGAAUUUAGACUUUCAAUAAGAUUUUGCCUGAAACAAUCUAUGAUUCCCCUGUAGUUUAGUUGUGAUGAUUGAUGUUUGUUUGCCCGAAUUGUUGUUUCAUUGUUAUUAUAAUUUGAUUCAUGUGGGUUGAAGUGUACAGAGCUGACAUUGAAGUGAUCAGAUCUGUUAUCUCAUGUGCCCAAGCUACGGGAUUGGCUGAACUAUUUGGAUGGAACUAAACAC